GUUGAUCUUAGUUGAUCAAACUGUUCAGACCCGACCCAAGUUUAAUAUUUAUGUGUCCAAAUGACUAACCUAAAACCCUCUCGUCGCCUCUCAUCUCUCCACCCUCAGAGAACUCAAACGCUAACCCUAACGACGCCCUAAAAUCCCCUCCCCUCCGACGGCGUCGCCGCCACAAAAUGAUCCCAAACUAACACCCUACAACCCCCAUGAUCACCUCAUACCAAAUCCGCAACUAUUUGCCCUUCGAAUCUUCCCAGAGCCUCUCAAAUCUUGAAUACAAAUUCGAGCCCUAAAAGUUCAAAACCAAAUGUCGAAUACGCAUGGACAUGCAUGGGUCUCCAAAAUGAUUUGCUAGAAACGGUGCCCCUUGCUUGUUCUCAAAGGGGAACAUUCAUGUGAUACCGCUUCUCAUUUUUUUUAAUCGAAGAAGAUGGAUCUAGCCGGACAACCGGAUAGCCAUGGCAGUAGGUAUUUGAUUCUUUGUUCCUUUCUUCUAUCUUCUCACUGUCCUCUUUCGUCAUCUUCUUCUACUCUUUUUGCUUCUCUUUUGAUGAAAAAUGAAUUGGUUUAGUUAGUGUUAGUUUACUCUGUUAUUUUAGGCUUGAAUUCAGGGGUUUGCCAGUAGAAAAUUAGUUUUUCAAUUUUUUUAGGGCAACAGGGAAGUAUUUCUGAUUUAAAUUGAUUUCCUAGUGCCAUGUUUGAUUUAAUUUCUUCAAAGACUGAACUAGGUUCAUUUAUCGGCUGCUGCUUUAGUUAAUUGCGGUAUCGAUUAUCUAAGUGCAUUUGCUUACAAAUUACUGCUUCUGAGUAUCUCUUUGAAGUUCAAUUUUUUUCAUCUAUGGGUUUAUUGGUUUAAACUUCCGAUUGGUUUCCUUCCUUUGGGUUCAAGACUCAAUUUGGGCUGAUUGGUUUGGGUUAAGUCUUGGGCUGUUUCAACCCAUAUUCUGUCUAGGUUCUUAAGGUAAAAUCAUGUAACAGGAAGUUUAGGAACUCUAGGUAGAGGAAUCUUUAUAGCAGCCUAAGGAAACUUCUAGGAAGUUAGGUGUUGGGACGAAUGUGGAAAGUUAAUUUUUAAACUAAGGUUUCUAAGUUAAAUUGAAAAGAACAAAAGGUGCAACAUGCAAAUAUGAUUUCAUUGAAGUUGCACUAAUGCCUUGCCUAUAAAGGCACCUUUACUUGACAUUUAAGGCAGAAUAAAAGAGAUAAAAUCAGACUGAAAAAAAUCAGAAAUGGCUGAAAGGUUUUAAGUGAUAUUCUUUACAUCUAAAGCACUGAAAAACACACACAGAGAUAGAAUUUCAGAAUCAGAAAAACACCAAAAAGGGAAAAAUUCUAGCAUUGAUUCAUUGGUUAGUUUUUUUCAUCUUUCUGGUUUUAAGUCUUGAACAUCUGCUGGAAUAAUGGGAUUUGAGUAUAGAUUAAAAGAGGCUGUAGUUGUUGGUAGCUUGUUACUUUGCCCUCUAUUGUUGGCAUAUUUGUUUUCAAGAUUUUGAAGCAAUUUUUAGGCAUUAAGGUACACAUCGUGACCCUAUGUCAAAACUCUUGUAGUCUUGACUUUACAUAAAUGUUAAAGAUAUUGUGUGAACAAGAGAAUAUACAUCUAUGCUGAUUCUUGUCUCAUAUGGUGGAAACAUGCUUCUCUUGUGCUUCAAAUAUAUUAGUUGAUAUCUGUUGGGCUUGGUUUCUAUGUGUACUAUUUUGCUUCUUCACGCUUAAUAUUUGCUUCAUAUUUUGAGUUGUGUGUGUUAACUAGGGGUUAAUCUAUUGCAGUAGGACUCUUGAUGGACUUGAUCUUGAUAUGAUCAGAUUCAUGAGAGUUGAAAGCUAAGUUGAUAUCACUCCUGUAUGGGGAAGAGCUUGCAACAUUAUCAAGGAUCACAAUCUGAUAUAUAUUUGGUUCUCUCAGUAGUUUAGAUUUAUUAUGUUUGUUGUUUUAUAAGUUAGGGUUGGUUAAUCUUCAUUUCCUAGCUGAUUACUUGUCAAGUAACUCAAAAUGUUGUUAAAUAGUAUUGAGUUUACAUGGAGUUAAUGUUGUGAAUGAAUGAAUCAUGAGGAUCAAGGGUGAAUGCCUCAGUCAGUUUCAUUUUGACGCUCAAACCUGCUGAAACAAGCUUCAUAAUCAAUUAUGUGAUGUAGGGUUUUAGAAUUUUGGAUUCAUGCUAUUUUUUCAUGAUUGGUGGCUUAAUGUAGCUUUUGAGUUUUGAUAUGUGCAUAAGUGCAAGUGUUAGUGAAAUAUAUGCCUUCCUGUAGCAGAGACCUAGGUUUGCUUCAUUAUUAUUCCUUCGAUCUAGCUUAAAAUUGUUUUAGGUUUAGUUUGGCCCUCAGAUUCUGAGCUUUGUAUCACAAUCUUUUAGCACAAUUUUUUGAAUUCGAGUGGGCCAUUUUUGUUUUUUUGAAGAACUAUGAUUCAAAUAAUGAAUUGAUGGUUUGACAAGUUACAAAUCUAGCUAAGCUAUGUAAGUUUGUUUCGCUGUUGUUGGCGAGGUUAUGAUUGGGAUUCGAACUUCACGUUACAUGUUUAUGAUUUAGCUUAUUUGAAAUUGAGACAUGAAUUCU
rnacentral:lncRNA from 1 species